CCCGCCUUUCCCUUCCAGGGAAUCGGAAGACACAAAACAACGACCCCCGCCCCUCCUCCCCCUCCCGUCAGCGCAGCACAAAGCCCCCGGGCCGUUUCCCCGGACGAGGCGAAGAGCCGGCAUGACAGAAUUGGCAUGUGCAUUCAGUGGCAAAACAGGCAAAUGAAUGUAACAGUCCAAAUGCAGGAUCCAGCUGAACUUCUUAUAUAUACGCAGGAUGAAACAGACCUGAGCUAUUGUCUUUUUCCUGGAAUGGAAGCCUGUGCUAUGCUACACUCUCAACAUCACAGAAAAAGAGAGCAACGUUAUUACUUUCAGAUACAGGCAAAUGAAUACUUUGUGCUUCUCACAGAAGGAAGAAAAAAGGACAAGUAUAAUCUAUCAAUAUCACAUGAGGGAUGUGAAACAAUUGAUACAAACUCAAGGUAAACUGCUCCAAACUCGAUUGCAGAAAAUAUGACUUCAGCAACAGAGUGGUAAAUGCCUGGAAUGCUCUACCCGACUCCAUUGUUACAGCCUCAAACCCUCGCACCUUCAACCUCAAAUUGUCUAUCGUGGACCUCACCCCAUUCCUAAGAUGUCCAUAAAGGAGGCGUGCAUAAGCACCUGUCCUCAUUUAUCUAUACUUACUUCCUUUGUUUAUGUUUAUGUUUAUACCUAUACCUGCUAUCUUGUACAUGUUUGACAAAUAAAUAAAUAAAUAAAUAAAUAAAUAAAUAAAUAAAUAAAUAAAUAAAUAUUAAUCACAUUUUUAGCUUGUCCAUGUUUGAUAUUAUCCAACUAUAAAAUGCCCAACCCAACUUUUUGGGUACCAGGGACCAGUUCCGUGGGAAAAAAGUAUGUGACAUCACACAUGUCCUGACACAUUGCACAAAUGAUGUACUUAUAUGUCAUUUGCAUAAUGAUACAUGAUAUUAUAAUAAAGUUCUGCCAUUUGUGAGAUGACAUGAUGUGUGUGGCAUCUUUGGGGAUUCUAGUGGGUGCCCGAUUAUUUAUCUCUUGUUAACUUACUAGCCUUAACUAGACUGUAAAAUACACUAAAACAUGGGGAAUAUUUCAAAAUUGAAAGUAAUGUUCAUCUUUAUAUUUCUGAUGAAGUGUAGCAUGAAAAUAUAAGCAAUCA